GUAAACCAAGGCAGCAACUACCGCUGCCCGCCAGAGUACUACAAGUGAAAAGCUUAAAACUCAAAGGACUUGACGGCAUUCCACACCACACUAGAGGAGCCUGUCCUACAAUCGAUAACCCACGUUUCACCUCACCUGUCUUUGCACCAGCCUAUAUACCGCCGUCUACAGCCCGCCUUACAAAAGUCCCAUAGCGAGCCAACUAGACCACUAAAACGUCAGGUCAAGGUGUAGCUCACGGACAGGAAGAGAUGGGCUACAUUUUCUAACAAUAGAAAACCACUACCAACACCAUGAAACAAGUGAACAAAGGAGGAUUUAGCAGUAAGCCGCGCAAGCAAGCCUGACUGAA
rnacentral:rRNA from 1 species